AUUGAACGCUGGCGGCAGGCUUAACACAUGCAAGUCGCACGCGUGGCGGACGGGUGAGUAAUGCUUGGGAAUCUCGCUUAUGGAGGGGGAUAACUACGGGAAACUGUAGCUAAUACCGCGUACCAUAGGAUGAGCCAAAGUGGGAUUAGGUAGUUGGUGAGGUAAAGGCUAACCAAGCCGACGAUCUCUAGCUGGUCUGAGGGGAUGACCAGCCACACUGGGACUGUGACACGGCCCAGACUCCUUCGGGAGGCAGCAGUGGGUAAUAUUGCUCAAUGGGGGCAACCUGACGCAGCCAUGCAGCGUGAAUGAAGAAGGCCUUCGGGGUGUAAAGUUCUUUCGGGAGCGAGGCGUUGACUACAGAAGAAGCACCGGCUAACUCCGUGCCAGCAGCCGCGGUAAUUC
rnacentral:rRNA from 1 species